rnacentral:misc_RNA from 1 species
GCGAGUCUCAAAAACUCCCAACCCUUUGUUCACGAGCCAGACAGUUGCUUCGGCGGGGAGCGCCCCCCGGGAGGCCCGCCCGGCACGAUACUCUUGUUAUUUUAUUGGCAUCUCUGAGCACAUCUCUUAAUGAGUCA